rnacentral:lncRNA from 1 species
UCAGGAGCAGGAGAGGCCUGCCAUCACCAGCCCCACAGAACAAGCCAGGAAGCAUUCUCCUGCAGCCUUCCAGAACAAGACAGCGCUGGGGUCAGGCUGAGUUAGCUCUGUAGGGCUGGAAGAGGCUCUCUCCCCCAGAUGCUGAGUGACUGGAAGCCAGCAGGGAGGGAGUGCUGGCAGGGCCUGCUGCCGCUGGAGGUGAGGCCCGAGGGGGCUGGGCCUGAGGCUGGGCAGAGGGAACACGGGGUGCAGAAAACCGGCGCACAGGACAGCGACAGAAAGUAUUCUGUUCCACCUUGGGAGAAAAAUAGUGCUGUUCAAAACGGCCAGACACUGGACUCUGACGGUUGCCCUCCCUUCAUUUUGACCCUUAAGCACCUCCACAUUUCACGUCUGU